rnacentral:tRNA from 1 species
GUUAAGGUGGCAGAGCCG